UGGCAGUGAUGACGAACUUAAAGUAGUUGAAUUUCGGUGAUUGAUUUUUACGCUAUUCUGAGCCAACU